CGGGCUUGUGACCCAAGUGGGGGCACUAAGGUGUUGGGAUAUUGUGCUGGUUCAGAUGGUGGGACUUGAUGGUAUUAAAUACUGGCCCACCCUAUCCAAGCCGAGAGUUAGGCCUUGAGGUUUGAGCGAAAGCUUGGGUCUCAUGGCUCUUAGAGAGGAGGGCAAUGCGUCAGGCUGGUUCCACAGAGCAGCGAGAACUUCCCGCUCUCGGCAGUGGAAGGAUAAUGGGCCGGUGCACUUCAAGUCCAUCAUUACC
rnacentral:SRP_RNA from 1 species